rnacentral:piRNA from 1 species
UAGGCAGUCUACUGCAUGGCUACAAGCAUG